rnacentral:rRNA from 1 species
UACGGGGGAGCAGCGUUGUCGGAUUUAUCGUGGCGUUAAAGGGGCGCGAGUAGGCGGGUGGUGACAAGUCACGUUGUGAAAUCUCCGGGCUUAACUCGGAACGGUCAAGUGAUACUGUCGGACUAGAGUACAGAAGGGGCAACUGGAAUUCUCGGUGUAGCGGUGAAAUGCGUAGAUAUCGUAAGGAAGACCAGUGGCGAAGGCGGAUCUCUGGACAGUUACUGACACUGAGGC